AAGAUCGAAUGAGAUUCACACAGCCAGGCACCUUCUUAACGCGUAAUUGAAAACAGAAGACAGAAAAAUGGAAGUCGGAAAACUAAACCGAAUUCCUCAAAGAGAACGAAGAUGAAGAGAAACAGAUUAAGAUUUUCAACUAAUCUGGAGGACAUAACAAGGAACAACAACGAGAAAAUUGGAUCCCAUGGAUGUGAGCUGUAUAAGAAUAUGACGAGGA
rnacentral:misc_RNA from 1 species